rfam:Papio anubis isolate 1X1155 chromosome 4, whole genome shotgun sequence.
GAAUAUGAGGGCAAUCUAAGGGCAAUAUCUGUCAACCCUUUGAUUGCCAGGGUUGGUACAGAGGAUCUGGCUGGCUAGACAGGUGUUCCCUUCCUUCCUCAUAUGGAGGUGCUCCAUAUGCGCACCUCCCAAAGCUGUGUGCUCGGUAAAAGAGGAAUGACCAUCCCCAGUGGAGGAGGACCCAUGUUCACUCAGGGGUAUGUGAGUAGCUGGGCUCCCCUGCUAGAACUUCCAAACACGCUCUCAAGAAGAGACAAAUCAAUCACAUGAUAUUAUUCUUCACCUGUCUUGUUUAUUAUUUAUUGAU